CCCUUAGAUGUUCUGGGCCGCACGCGCGCUACACUGAUGAAUUCAACGAGUUUUCCACCUUGACCGAGAGGUCCGGGAAAUCUUUUCAACUUUCAUCGUGCUGGGGAUAGAUUAUUGCAAUUGUUAAUCUUGAACGAGGAAUUCCUAGUAAGCGCGAGUCAUCAGCUCGCGUUGAUUACGUCCCUGCCCUUUGUACACACCGCCCGUCGCUCCUACCGAUUGAAUGGUCCGGUGAAGCGCUCGGACCGCGGCCUCUUGACGGUUUUCCGUCGAUUGGCUGUGGGAAGUUCGUUAAACCUUAUCAUUUAGAGGAAGGAGAAGUCGUAACA
rnacentral:rRNA from 1 species